rnacentral:tRNA from 1 species
GGCUUAAUGGCGCAGCAGAAGCGCGACGGGCUCAUAACCUGGAGGUCCUCUGAUCGAAACAGAGUAAAGCUA